GGCCGUCUGGCGAAAUGGCAUCGCGUCUGACUACGAAUCAGGAGAUUGCAGGUUCGACCCCUGCGCUGGUCA
rnacentral:tRNA from 1 species